AUUUCCACACCCAUGGUUGCAGGUUGGGAGAUCCUUUAUGAUACAACUGUGGGUCCUUCUGGAAGUUCCAGUUUUUUAAUAAUUAUCUUUACUCUGGAUAUACCUUUUGCUACCCCUGAUGAAGUCAAACAGACAAAACGCGUUGGAUUUAUCAGCUAUAAAUCAGUAAUCCAGUUGAUGAUAACGUUCCCUUGUGCCAAGAUUACACCUUGAUAAGGUGAGGGAGUUCGUACAUCGAUAUCACCUACUGGAUAUUUAUGGAA